rnacentral:rRNA from 1 species
GAGUCUGAUCCUGGCUCAGAUUGAACGCUGGCGGCAUGCCUUACACAUGCAAGUCGAACGGCAGCACGGGAGCUUGCUCCUGGUGGCGAGUGGCGAACGGGUGAGUAAUGCAUCGGAACGUAUCCUGGAGUGGGGGAUAACGUAGCGAAAGUUACGCUAAUACCGCAUAUUCUGUGAGCAGGAAAGCGGGGGACCUUCGGGCCUCGCGCUCUUGGAGCGGCCGAUGUCGGAUUAGCUAGUUGGUGAGGUAAAGGCUCACCAAGGCGACGAUCCGUAGCAGGUCUGAGAGGAUGAUCUGCCACACUGGAACUGAGACACGGUCCAGACUCCUACGGGAGGCAGCAGUGGGGAAUUUUGGACAAUGGGGGCAACCCUGAUCCAGCCAUGCCGCGUGAGUGAAGAAGGCCUCGG